CCUACGGGGGACAGCAGUGGGGGAUAUUGCACAAUGGGGGAAACCCUGAUGCAGCGACGCCGCGUGGGCGAAGAAGUAUUUCGGUAUGUAAAGCCCUAUCAGCAGGGAAGAAGAACUGACGGUACCUGAGUAAGAAGCACCGGCUAAAUACGUGCCAACAGCCGCGGUAAUACGUAUGGGGCAAGCGUUAUCCGGAUUUACUGGGUGUAAAGGGAGCGCAGGCGGCACGGCAAGCCUGAUGGGAAAGCCCGCGGCCACACCGCGGGACUGCAUUGGGAACUACCGGGCUGGAGUGCCGGAGAGGUAGGCGGAAUUCCUCGUGUAGCGGUGGAAUGCGUAGAUAUUAGGAGGAACCCCAGUGGCGAAGGCGGCCUACUGGACGGUGCCUGCCGCUGAGGCUCGAACGCGUGGGGAGCAAACAGGAUUAGAUACCCGGGUAGUC
rnacentral:rRNA from 1 species